rnacentral:rRNA from 1 species
CCUACGGGGGGCAGCAGUGGGGAAUAUUGGACAAUGGGCGAAAGCCUGAUCCAGCCAUGCCGCGUGUGUGAAGAAGGCCUUCGGGUUGUAAAGCACUUUCAGUGGGGAAGAAAGCCUUGGGGCUAAUACCCUCGAGGAAGGACAUCACCCACAGAAGAAGCACCGGCUAACUCCGUGCCAGCAGCCGCGGUAAUACGGAGGGUGCGAGCGUUAAUCGGAAUUACUGGGCGUAAGGCGCGCGUAGGCGGUCUGAUAAGCCGGUUGUGAAAGCCCCGGGCUCAACCUGGGAACGGCAUCCGGAACUGUCAGGCUAGAGUGCAGGAGAGGAAGGUAGAAUUCCCGGUGUAGCGGUGAAAUGCGUAGAGAUCGGGAGGAAUACCAGUGGCGAAGGCGGCCUUCUGGACUGACACUGACGCUGAGGUGCGAAAGCGUGGGUAGCAAACAGGAUUAGAUACCCUUGUAGUC